GUGCCAGCCGCCGCGGUAAUACAGAGGGUGCGAGCGUUAAUCGGAAUUACUGGGCGUAAAGGGCGCGUAGGUGGUUAAUUAAGUCAGAUGUGAAAUCCCCGGGCUUAACCUGGGAAUGGCAUAUGAAACUGAUUAGCUAGAGUUUGGGAGAGGGAAGUGGAAUUUCAGGUGUAGCGGUGAAAUGCGUAGAUAUCUGAAGGAACACCAGUGGCGAAGGCGACUUCCUGGCCCGAUACUGACACUGAGGCGCGAAAGCGUGGGGAGCAAACAGGAUUAGAUACCCUGGUAGUCC
rnacentral:rRNA from 1 species